UGUGAACAAGACUGAAGGAUACAGAGGACUCUGCCCAAGGAUGCACAGUUGAAGUCCUAUUUUAUUGCAAAGGUAUGAACAUGGACCACAGGAAGCAUGUUAAUGCAGAAAGCAGGAGUCUGAGAU